UACGUAGGGGGCUAGCGUUGUCCGGAAUCAUUGGGCGUAAAGCGCGCGUAGGCGGCCAGAUAAGUCCGGUGUGAAAGCCACAGGCUCAACCUGUGAAUGCCGCUGGAAACUGUCUGGCUAGAGUCCGGGAGGGGCGAGUGGAAUUCCUGGUGUAGCGGUGAAAUGCGCAGAUAUCAGGAAGAACACCCGUGGCGAAAGCGGCUCUCUGGAACGGUACUGACGCUGAGACGCGAAAGCGUGGGGAGCGAACAGG
rnacentral:rRNA from 1 species